UACGUAGGGUGCGAGCGUUGUCCGGAAUUAUUGGGCGUAAAGAGCUCGUAGGCGGUGUGUCGCGUCGGUCGUGAAAUCCUGGAGCUCAACUCCAGAACUGCCUUCGAUACUGGGCGAUCUUGAGUCCGGAAGAGGUGAGUGGAACUCCUAGUGUAGAGGUGGAAUUCGUAGAUAUUAGGAAGAACACCAGUGGCGAAGGCGGCUCACUGGUCCGGUACUGACGCUGAGGAGGCGAAAGCGUGGGGAGCGAACAGG
rnacentral:rRNA from 1 species